UGGGGAAUAUUGCGCAAUGGGCGAAAGCCUGACGCAGCGACGCCGCGUGUGGGAUGACGGCCUUCGGGUUGUAAACCACUGUCGGGAGGGACGAAGAUCUGACGGUACCUCCAAAGGAAGCACCGGCUAACUCUGUGCCAGCAGCCGCGGUAAUACAGAGGGUGCAAGCGUUGUCCGGAAUUACUGGGCGUAAAGGGCGCGUAGGCGGCCUGAUAAGUAGGGGGUGAAAUCCCGCGGCUCAACCGCGGGGCUGCCUUCUAGACUGUCAGGCUUGAGCACGGUAGAGGCGAAUGGAAUUCCCGGUGUAGCGGUGGAAUGCGUAGAGAUCGGGAAGAACACCAGUGGCGAAGGCGGUUCGCUGGGCCGUUGCUGACGCUGAGGCGCGACAGCGUGGGGAGCA
rnacentral:rRNA from 1 species